GACAGAGGUGCCAAGCGUUAGGCGGAAUCACUGGGCUUAAAGCGUGUGUAGGCGGAUCGUUAAGUACCUUGUGAAAUCCCACAGCUUAACUGUGGAACUGCUUGGUAUACUGCCAGUCUUGAGCCAGCUAGGGGCUACCGGAACAAAUGGUGGAGCGGUGAAAUGCGUAGAUAUCAUUUGGAACGCCAAUGGUGAAAACAGGUAGCUGGGGCUGUGCUGACGCUGAGACACGAAAGCGUGGGGAGCAAACAGG
rnacentral:rRNA from 1 species